rnacentral:rRNA from 1 species
UACAGAGGGGGCAAGCGUUGUUCGGAAUUACUGGGCGUAAAGGGCCAGUAGGCGGCCAACUAAGUCGGAUGUGAAAUCCCCAGGCUUAACCUGGGAACUGCAUCCGAUACUGGAUGGCUUGAAUUCGGGAGAGGGAUGCAGAAUUCCAGGUGUAGCGGUGAAAUGCGUAGAUAUCUGGAGGAAUACCGGUGGCGAAGGCGGCAUCCUGGACCGACAUUGACGCUGAGGAGCGAAAGCUAGGGGGAGCAAACGGG